GAUGAACGCUAGCUACAGGCUUAACACAUGCAAGUCGCGGGGCAGCAUGGGGGUUGCUUGCCAUCCCCGAUGGCGACCGGCGCACGGGUGAGUAACGCGUAUCCAACCUGCCCUUCACCACGGGAUAACCCGGCGAAAGUCGGACUAAUACCGUAUGUUGUCCAUUGACGGCAUCCGAUUUGGACGAAAGGCUUGGCGGUGAGGGAUGGGGAUGCGUCCGAUUAGCCAGACGGCGGGGUAACGGCCCACCGUGGCUACGAUCGGUAGGGGUUCUGAGAGGAAGGUCCCCCACACUGGAACUGAGACACGGUCCAGACUCCUACGGGAGGCAGCAGUGAGGAAUAUUGGUCAAUGGGCGUAAGCCUGAACCAGCCAAGUAGCGUGCAGGAUGACGGCCCUAUGGGUUGUAAACUGCUUUUAUGCGGGGAUAAAGUGGCCCACGUGUGGGCUUUUGCAGGUACCGCAUGAAUAAGGACCGGCUAAUUCCGUG
rnacentral:rRNA from 1 species